rnacentral:piRNA from 1 species
CAAACUGGCAUUGGGUGAAGAGAGAUUC